GAUGAACGCUGGCGGCGUGCCUAAUACAUGCAAGUCGAGCGAACAGAUGAGGAGCUUGCUCCUCUGACGUUAGCGGCGGACGGGUGAGUAACACGUGGAUAACCUACCUAUAAGACUGGGAUAACUUCGGGAAACCGGAGCUAAUACCGGAUAAUAUAUUGAACCGCAUGGUUCAAUAGUGAAAGACGGUUUUGCUGUCACUUAUAGAUGGAUCCGCGCCGCAUUAGCUAGUUGGUAAGGUAACGGCUUACCAAGGCAACGAUGCGUAGCCGACCUGAGAGGGUGAUCGGCCACACUGGAACUGAGACACGGUCCAGACUCCUACGGGAGGCAGCAGUAGGGAAUCUUCCGCAAAGGGCGAAAGCCUGACGGAGCAACGCCGCGUGAGUGAUGAAGGUCUUCGGAUCGUAAAACUCUGUUAUUAGGGAAGAACAAAUGUGUAAGUAACUACGCACGUCUUGACGGUACCUAAUCAGAAAGCCACGGCUAACUACGUG
rnacentral:rRNA from 1 species